AUCUUUUCAAUCAAACCAGAAGAUAAGAUAAGAGGAACUUUAUUAAUCUCACGUGUGAGAAACUGCAUGUAACAACAGCUCGAUUUACAGGAAGGUACAAGUUGGGGGAUAAAAGUG